rnacentral:rRNA from 1 species
UACGGGAGGCAGCAGUAGGGAAUCUUUCACAAUGGGCGAAAGCCUGACGGAGCAACGCCGCGUGCAGGAUGACGGCCUUCGGGUUGUAAACUGCUUUUAUAAGCGAGAAAUAUGAUGGUAACUUAUGAAUAAGGACCGGCUAACUACGUGCCAGCAGCCGCGGUAAU